UUUUCCACCAAGGCUACUACUAAUUCCUACCUUCCAGAAUUAAAUUUUGGAGCACAAUGAUUUCACGAAUAAAAAAUAAUAAUAAAUUGAGUUUUUGCGCCUCGAGACAUAAAUUAGCAACUGUUGACGUAGGCGAUGUCUGUAUAGUAUACCUGUCAUAGUAUGACAUCUUGAGAUCAGAAUGGCUAUCACCUUUAGAUGCUGAUUCAUCUUCAAAACCAUGAGGGUAGCAAUUAGGUAGCAACUGUCUAUGUAUUUCGAGGGGAUCGAUGAGUGACAGCGAUUAUGACGGUUAAGUCAUAGGUACUAUAGUUGUGUGCAAAGCGACUCUGGACACAGUGAAUGACGAUAGAUUAUUUACUGAAGAACGGUUUGAUUGUUUAUCAGUGUACGUAUCUGAUUGUUCAUUAAUUGUUUAUAACGCGGCGUGUCUGACGCGUGACCAAACGGCACUAACGAGGCGAUUCUCUCACGCCUAUAUAGCGUCCCACGCGCAUGCGCGACACACUCCCUGCCGACACGUCGCCCACGCGUCACCCGCGCGUCCGCCACACGUGGUCCACGCGCAGAAUGAGAAGCGUCGCGCUGCUCGCGCUGACGGCGGUGAGUUAUUUAUUAUAUUUAAGUAGAUGAUAAUUUACACAUUGAGAACGUUAACUUGCAAAACUCUCGCGAGGCACUCUGUUCAAUGCCUCGUACGUAAUGUUUGUGCGAGGCUUCACGUUUAACCAAUUGUAUCUGGCGACUACGACAACAAUAACCAUUCAGUUUAUUUCGCAGUAUUUCCCAAGGGCAGUCAGAUUAGGAAAUGCCGCAGCAUCUAGUUUUAUAAAUAUUGACUCGGUUUUAAAUAAUCCCCCGCAGUGUCAGGCGGUGCUGAGCGUGCCGCGCGCCGACCACGUGAGUCAGCUUCCUACAUCGCGUUACCUCGUGUUGUGUGUCUAACCGACUGCGGCGGAGUGCCGCCUCACGCGGAGCGGCUGUCUGUCUGACUUUGUCAAUUCAAUAGAUUUUGUUCUUUUGGCAAAAUUGCUUAUUUCUUACUCUUAAUUUGUAAGUUAGAAGGGAUUCACUAACUGGGUCUUGCGGAACCUAAACUUUAUAGAAUAGUUAAGUAUCAGGUUCCGCUGAAAUUUUGAAUGAAAUUCGAGUUUGUGUAAAAAAUAAAUAAUUUUGUAGUUUAGUAAUACGUACGAAAUACGAGUAGAUGGUAAAAUUGAAUCCAUUAUUUUUUUUACUCAGAUAUACAAGUUCAUGAGAACGGUUGAAUAUUGAUCAUUUGUUGAUGUUAGUACGUUAUCUGGUAAUGUGAUUGAGUUCAGUUUAGCUCCGUGUCUGACGUGGAGCAGCUGGUGCCACAACUGGCGGGCUCCCCCCCGCUCGCGGCUCCCCCCUCCGGGGCGCGGCGUGACUUCAUGCCGCUCGGCGAGAAUUCUGACAUGAGGCCGCCGCCGUGGCUGACGCGGCCAUAGCUCGCCUGCCCACGUCUCAUGGUCACCUAGUAAUAAUACUUAUGUACUUGUAUUGAAAUAAACUGUUUACCUGUUG